rnacentral:lncRNA from 1 species
GAUGGGUAAAAUUGAUUCCAACGGUAUUUUAUUUAAUCAUGCAAAACUAAAGCACCACUUAGACACAGAAUCAAAAUGCAAAAACCUUGACAUGCCCUCCCUUUUGGUAUUAACUUUUCAAAACACGCAACCUGUAUGACAGUAUUCCUCAGCUUCAUCUACUCAUGUCAGGAACAUGUUGGACAUACUCGGCUUGCUGCCGCCAUCUUGGAUACCACCGGGCAGUUUAACACACGCCUGCAUCAAACAGGUAUUAAAUCACUAUACACAGAACUCGCCCAAAAUCUUGGCUGGACUGGCAAUACAGAAGUUGAGACAAAUGUUUACUGUUCGGUUUUACUUAAGGAAAGGCAAAGAGAAGCAAGGGCGGAUGCCCACUGUGCAC